rnacentral:tRNA from 1 species
GGCGUAGCUCAGUUGGUAGAGCAGCUGAUUUGUAAUCAGUAGGUCGUGGGUUCAAAUCCUAUCGCC